rnacentral:rRNA from 1 species
CCUACGGGAGGCAGCAGUGGGGAAUAUUUCGCAAUGGGCGAAAGCCUGACGCAGCGACGCCGCGUGAGGGAUGAAGGUCUUCGGAUCGUAAACCUCUGUCAGCAGGGAAGAACGGUCACUGUGCUAAUCAGCAGUGAAUUGACGGUACCUGCAAAGGAAGCACCGGCUAACUCCGUGCCAGCAGCCGCGGUAAUACGGAGGGUGCGGACGUUAAUCGGAAUUACUGGGCGUAAAGCGCUCGUAGGCGGUAUGUCAAGUCAAGGGUGAAAGCCCCGCGCUCAACGUGGGAACUGCCUUUGAAACUGGGAAACUUGAGUGUGUGAGAGGAUAGUGGAAUUCCAGGUGUAGGAGUGAAAUCCGUAGAUAUCUGGAGGAACAUCAGUGGCGAAGGCGACUAUCUGGAACAUAACUGACGCUGAGGAGCGAAAGCGUGGGUAGCAAACAGGAUUAGAUACCCUAGUAGUC